rnacentral:rRNA from 1 species
UUAAAUUGAAGAGUUUGAUCAUGGCUCAGAUUGAAUGCUGGCGGCAGGCCUAACACAUGCAAGUCGAACGGUAACAGGAAACAGCUUGCUG